rnacentral:tmRNA from 1 species
GGCCUUUCUUUUUCGCUUAUCGAUCCCUAUAUUCGGUUCGUCGGCUUGACCGACUAUGGCGAUAAACAGGCGAUGAAAUAAGCCGUUCGGACCCGGGGGCGGUACCCGGCGCCUCCACCAAAAACCGCUCUGGAUGACGGAGCGGCUUUUGCUGGGGGCGAAAUAGGAUCGACGAAGGUGUAAAGAUCGUACUUUUGCCCGGCAUUGUACCACCGUCAUCGGGCUAAACUUAUAGUUGCCAACGACAACUAUGCGGAAGCACGUCUCGCUGCUUAAUGCAGUGCG